rnacentral:lncRNA from 1 species
GCUGGGGUGCACGGAGCUGUGCGAGGGCGCGUGUUGCACGAGGGCACGCGUGUUGCACGGGUGUUGCACGAGGGUGCACGUUGCACGAGGGUGUGCGUUGCACAACGGCGGUCGUUGCACGCGUGACUUGCAUGGGAAUGGUGAUUGCACAAGCGGGUGGUGCACAAGCAGGCGUUGCACGAGGGAGGUUGCUGCACAAUAGUGCAUUGCACAAGAGCAUGCAUUGCACAAGGGUUUGCACUACACAAGGGUGUGCAUUGCACAAGAGUGUGUUGCACAAGGGUUUGCAUUGCACGAGUGCAUUGCACGAAGGUUUCCAUUGCACAAGUGUGUUGCACAAGAGUGCGUUGCACAAGUGUUUGCAUUGCACAAAGGUGCAUUGUACAAGAGUGCAUUGCACAAGAGUGUGUAUUACACAAGGGUGUGCAUUGCACAAGGGUGUAUUGCACAAGAGUGUGUUGCACAAGGGUUUGCAUUGCACAAAAGUGCAUUGCACAAGAGUGCAUUGCACAAGGGUUUGCAUUGCACGAGUGCAUUGCACGAGGGUUUGCAUUACACAAGGGUGUGCAUUGCACAAGAGUGUGUUGCACAAGGGUUUGCAUUGCACAAAAGUGCAUUGUACAAGAGUGCAUUGCACGAGGGUGUGCAUUGCACAAGCGUGCAUCGCACAAGUGUGCAUUGCACGAGAGCGAUGCACAAGCAUGCUCCUUGCACCAGGGCACUUACCGCAUGCAAGCAUCUGCACAAGCACGUGCAUUGCACGAGGGUGGGCAUUGCACGAGGCCGUGCGAGCCCCCCAGCUCACCACCCCCCCCCCCCCCCUUCUUCCAGCGCCCCCGCCCCCCCCCGGCCCCCCCGGGAGCGGCCGCGCGGCGCCGCCAUGGGGUCCCGGAGCCGGUAGCAGCGGCGGGCACGGGGACGUGGCACGGGGACGGGGACGUCGCACGGGGACAUCGCGCACCGGGAGCACCCUGAGGACCGAGGUAGGGGGGGGCCUCAAUUACUGGGGGGGGCACCAAUGGGGGCAGCUUUUAUGGGGAGGGGGUCCUGGGGCAUUUAUGGGGGGGUUGGGGUCCCCAGAGGUUUUUAGGGUGAUUUUGGGGGGGCAC